GACGAACCGUGCAAACGUUGUUCGGAAUCACUGGGCUUAAAGGGCGCGUAGGCGGGCAAGCAAGUCCGGGGUGAAAUCUUUCGGCCCAACCGGAAAAGGGCCUUGGAUACUGCUUGUCUGGAGGGAGGUAGGGGCAGACGGAACUUCCGGUGGAGCGGUGAAAUGCGUUGAUAUCGGAAGGAACGCCGGUGGCGAAAGCGGUCUGCUGGACCUCUACUGACGCUGAGGCGCGAAAGCCAGGGGAGCAAACGGG
rnacentral:rRNA from 1 species